rnacentral:rRNA from 1 species
AUUGAACUCUAGCGGGCUGCCUUACACAUGCAAGUCGAACGGAGUGGCUUAUGGUUGAGUUAUUUAUCGGACCGUGCCCAGUAGCGCGGGUUUACUACGCGCAAGCGUCACUAAUACCGGCUACUAUUGGAGAGGACGAUAUCGGAUUAGCUAGUUGGUGGGGUAACGGCUCACCAAGGCGACGAUCAGUAGCUGGUUUGAGAGGACGACCAGCCACAAUGGUACUGAGACACGGCCCAGACUACUACGAGAGGCAGAAGGGGGGAAUUUUGGACAAGGGGGGAGACCGUGAUCCAGGCAUACAGCGUGUAGGAUGAAGGCCUUCGGGUUGUAAAGCACUGUUGGCAGGAAAGCGGUACCUGCAGAAGAAGCACCGGCUAACUACGUGCCAGCAGCCGCGGUAAUAC